GCCCGGGUGGCGGAACGGCAGACGCAGCGAGCUUAAACCUCGCGGCCCUAACAGGCAUACGGGUUCGAAUCCCGUCCCGGGCACCU
rnacentral:tRNA from 1 species